GACGAACGCUGGCGGCGUGCCUAAUACAUGCAAGUUGAGCGAUGAAGAUUGGUGCUUGCACCAAUUUGAAGAGCAGCGAACGGGUGAGUAACGCGUGGGGAAUCUGCCUUUGAGCGGGGGACAACAUUUGGAAACGAAUGCUAAUACCGCAUAACAACUUUAAACAUAAGUUUUAAGUUUGAAAGAUGCAAUUGCAUCACUCAAAGAUGAUCCCGCGUUGUAUUAGCUAGUUGGUGAGGUAAAGGCUCACCAAGGCGAUGAUACAUAGCCGACCUGAGAGGGUGAUCGGCCACAUUGGGACUGAGACACGGCCCAAACUCCUACGGGAGGCAGCAGUAGGGAACCUUCGGCAAUGGACGAAAGUCUGACCGAGCAACGCCGCGUGAGUGAAGAAGGUUUUCGGAUCGUAAAACUCUGUUGGUAGAGAAGAACGUUGGUGAGAGUGGAAAGCUCAUCAAGUGACGGUAACUACCCAGAAAGGGACGGCUAACUACGUG
rnacentral:rRNA from 1 species